rnacentral:rRNA from 1 species
GAUGAACGCUAGCGGCAGGCUUAAUACAUGCAAGUCGAGGGGCAGCAUGAUUGUAGCAAUACAAUUGAUGGCGACCGGCAAACGGGUGCGGAACACGUACACAACCUUCCAACAAGUAGGGGAUAGCCCAGAGAAAUUUGGAUUAAUACCCCGUAACAUAGCGAUGUGGCAUCACAUUGUUAUUAUAGAUUUUUCGCUUAUUGAUGGGUGUGCGGCUGAUUAGAUAGUUGGCGGGGUAACGGCCCACCAAGUCUACGAUCAGUAGCUGAUGUGAGAGCAUGAUCAGCCACACGGGCACUGAGACACGGGCCCGACUCCUACGGGAGGCAGCAGUAAGGAAUAUUGGACAAUGGACGCAAGUCUGAUCCAGCCAUGCCGCGUGAAGGAUUAAGGUCCUCUGGAUUGUAAACUUCUUUUAUAAGGGACGAAAAAAGGCUUUUCUAAGUCGUCUGACGGUACCUUAUGAAUAAGCACCGGCUAACUCCGUGCCAGCCGCCGCAGUAAGAC